rnacentral:rRNA from 1 species
ACACGACUACAUUAGAUACCCGGGUAGUCCCAGCCCUAAACGAUGCGCGUUAGGUGUAUCGGUGACCACGAGUCACCGAGGUGCCGAAGGGAAACCGUGAAACGUGCCGCCUGGGAAGUACGGUCGCAAGGCUGAAACUUAAAGGAAUUGGCGGGGGAGCACCACAACGGGUGGAGCUUGCGGUUUAAUUGGAUUCAACGCCGGAAAUCUUACCGGGACCGACAGCAACAUGAAGGCCAAGCUGAAGACUUUGCCGGAUUAGCUG